rnacentral:rRNA from 1 species
UACGUAGGUGGCAAGCGUUGUCCGGAUUUAUUGGGUUUAAAGGGUGCGUAGGCGGUUUUCUAAGUCAGUGGUGAAAUACGGCAGCUUAACUGUCGAGGUGCCAUUGAUACUGGGAGACUUGAGUACUGAUGAGGUAGGCGGAAUGGACGGUGUAGCGGUGAAAUGCUUAGAGAUCGUCCAGAACACCGAUAGCGAAGGCAGCUUACUAGACUGAAACUGACGCUGAGGCACGAAAGUGUGGGGAUCAAACAGG